GAUGAUUCUGAGACUGUGUAGGUAUGGAACUACACAGUUGAAGAGGGCUUAAAUGGAUUGAUUGGUACUACUUAUAUCAACAAGGUGCAUCUUGUUUUCUAGUAGCCCAUCAUAAAAGAACUCAACAGUUAAGCAUGUUUGACCUAGGGUAAUUUCAGAAUGGCACUACAACAAAAAGAAGCAUUAGGAGCGACAAUAUUAGAGGUGACCUUUUUUUGCCCCUAAUCACCUGUCAUUAGUGGCGACUUCCAUCUGUCGCUGCUAAUAAACGUGCUCCAAUUUUUAUUUUUAUUUUAAAUAUGUUUAGGGACAACAUUUUUUGUUUAGGGGCGAUAAGUUGCCCUUAUUAAUAGUUUAAUAAUUAUUUUAUUUAGUACCCAAAAUCCAUUUCCCACCGAAAUCAUUUCGCGCGAAAUAAAAAGCUUCGCUCUUCGUUUCAGCAUUCACUCUAAUCUUUCUCAUUAACUAAGAAAUCCCUAAAUCUGAAACCGAUUCCCCUAAAUACCAGAAAACCUCAAAUCCAAAAGUGCCUGCGUCGUCUCCUAGGAUCCCUCUCUGUCGCCGUCUUCUUCGUCUCAGGGCGAUGCUCUCUCCGAUCAGAAGUUAGAAUCUGUACACUAUGAUUAGAUUUGGGGGUUUUGAAUCUCUCUCUCUCUAGGAUCUCUCACUUUCUCAUAUCUCCUCUGCAUUGGGAAAGAAGUACGUGAGGAAUCUAAGAGAAAAAAUUUAGUUUUCCAGCAUUGGAUUGAAGCUGUUGGAUGCUGGAGAUGGAUAUAAGAUUGACUUUUCUGAUCUUAUUUGUAAUAUUCUUCAUAAAAUAAGCAAGAGAAAACCCUACGAGUAUAUGUUGAUGAGUUAUGGUAUUAGUUGGAUAUUCUUUUUUAUCUUUUCAGAAGACUUAUAUGCUUAUUCUCUUUUUGAUUUUCUAGAAAAUAAAGGUGUCACUUCAUCAUUCCAGCUUCCUUGGAGGAGUUGUCACCUUAUCUAUUGAAGGUCUCGUAGUAUAAUAGUAUAAUGGGGAAGAGUCAAGCUCUUUUUACAAGGUGGGAAGUAGACAUCCAAAGAAAGAUGAUCAUUGCCUUAGGGUAAAGCCUAGUUCUCAUUUUGUGUGGAUAUAAUUAUCACCAACUUCUGCUUUUUGAGUUUUCCAGGAAAUGAGAGGACCAAGUAUUAUCUCACUUUCAAGGUGAUUGAGCAGCUAAAAGACUUGCAAUAUACAUUGUAUAGUUAUUCGUGGCUGAUGGAACCGAUGACGCCCAUGCCACAACGAACACAGAACACAGCAACAUUAAAAGGCAAGGAUAUAGAGGAAGAUACUAUGGAUUUGGGGCUUUAGUAAUCCUAUUAUAUAAUUGUAGUUUAAACAUUGAUUAACAGUAUUGUAAUGUGAACAAUUAAAGAUUAAUUCAAUUUGCUAUAAUUUAUAAAUUUAAAUAUUUUUAGUUUU